rnacentral:rRNA from 1 species
GAUCAUGGCUCAGGAUGAACGCUAGCUAUAGGCUUAACACAUGCAAGUCGAGGGGCAGCAUGGUCUUAGCUUGCUAAGACUGAUGGCGACCGGCGCACGGGUGCGUAACGCGUAUGCAACUUGCCUCACAGAGGGGGGAUAACCCGUCGAAAGACGGACUAAUACCGCGUACACUCUAUGUUGGGCAUCCAAUGUAGAGGAAAAGAAAUUCGCUGUGAGAUAGGCA